UGCAUAUCAAUAAGCGGAGGAAAAGAAACUAACAAGGAUUCCCCUAGUAACGGCGAGUGAAGCGGGAAAAGCUCAAAUUUGUAAUCUGGCGCCUUUGGCGUCCGAGUUGUAAUCUCGAGAAGUAUUUUCCGCGCUGGACCGCACAUAAGUCUGUUGGAAUACAGCGUCAUAGUGGUGAGAACCCCGUAUAGGGUGCGGAUGCCCAGUGCUUUGUGAUAUACUUUCGAAGAGUCGAGUUGUUUGGGAAUGCAGCUCAAAUUGGGUGGUAAAUUCCAUCUAAAGCUAAAUAUUGGCGAGAGACCGAUAGCGAACAAGUACCGUGAGGGAAAGAUGAAAAGCACUUUGGAAAGAGAGUUAACAGUACGUGAAAUUGUUGGAAGGGAAACGCUUGAAGUCAGACUUGCAUUUUGGAGUUCAGCCGCAAGGUGUAUUCUUCAAUUCGCAGGCCAGCAUCAGUUUUUGGGGGUGGAAAAGCGUGGUUUGAAGGUAGCAGUCUCGGCUGUGUUAUAGCUUUCCACUGGAUUCACUUUUGGGGACUGAGGAACGCAGUACGCUUUUUGCAAGAUUCUCGGAUCUUUCGUACUUAGGAUGCUGGUGGAAUGGCUUUAAACGACCCGUCUUGAAACACGGACCA
rnacentral:rRNA from 2 species